rnacentral:rRNA from 1 species
AAAGGAAUUGACGGGGGCCCGCACAAGCGGUGGAGCAUGUGGUUUAAUUCGAAGCAACGCGAAGAACCUUACCAGGUCUUGACAUCCCGAUGCUAUUCUUAGAGAUAGGAAGUUACUUCGGUACAUCGGAGACAGGUGGUGCAUGGUUGUCGUCAGCUCGUGUCGUGAGAUGUUGGGUUAAGUCCCGCAACGAGCGCAACCCUUAUUGUUAGUUGCCAUCAUUAAGUUGGGCACUCUAGCGAGACUGCCGGUAAUAAACCGGAGGAAGGUGGGGAUGACGUCAAAUCAUCAUGCCCCUUAUGACCUGGGCUACACACGUGCUACAAUGGUCGGUACAACGAGUUGCGAGCCGGUGACGGCAAGCUAAUCUCUGAAAGCCGAUCUCAGUUCGGAUUGGAGGCUGCAACUCGCCUCCAUGAAGUCGGAAUCGCUAGUAAUCGCGGAUCAGCACGCCGCGGUGAAUACGUUCCCGGGCCUUGCACACACCGCCCGU